UACGUAGGGCGCAAGCGUUGUCCGGAAUUAUUGGGCGUAAAGAGCUCGUAGGCGGCCUGUCGCGUCUGCUGUGAAAUCCCGGGGCUUAACCCCGGGCGUGCAGUGGAUACGGGCUGGCUGGAGGCAGGCAGGGGAGAACGGAAUUCCCGGUGUAGCGGUGAAAUGCGCAGAUAUCGGGAGGAACACCGGUGGCGAAGGCGGUUCUCUGGGCCGAUACUGACGCUGAGGAGCGAAAGCGUGGGGAGCGAACAGG
rnacentral:rRNA from 1 species